rnacentral:lncRNA from 1 species
GCUGCCUGGGAAUCACGCUCCUUCCUGCUCUUUCCAAAAAGCCAGGCGAGCCGGCCAGCAUCCCGCUCCCUCUGACCCGCAGUCUGUGCGGGCAGUAGGCCCUGAGUGGUGCCAGGAGGAGGUGGCCUUAGAAAGGCGGAGACCCAACGAGCAGAGUGAGUCGGCCUCCGGCUCCACCUGAAAGCGCCAUCUUGUCGCCACUUCCCUCAGGAGCAGCAUGCCCAGCCUCUUGCAUAGGAAGAAGUGGUAAGCUAAGGAGAGAAAUGCAGGGUUCCUAGCACACCAAUUUUGCAACUUUCUCAUCUUGGCCCUGCUUUAAAAUGAUGCAUCUACUGUCUUCAUGCCUCAGCACAGCAGAGAAAACCAUGCUGUGUUCCAGUUUACUUUGAAUGUUUCAGUGAAAAUGAUGAAGCUGAAAAAAUGAUGGAGGCCCAUGUUACAUUGCAUUUCUCAGAGUCAUCGCCUCUGCUGCAGAUGGAACAGCAGCCAUGGAGAAUGAGGGUCACCUGAAUGUGGAAAAGUUGAGUUUGAGCAAAACUGGCAUGGCCACUGGAUGGACCUCAGCAUGACCAGGACACAUUUCAGCUCAAAUCCCCUGUGCCAAGAACACAUUCUGCCAAGGACCACCACCUCUUCCCACAACUAGAGCUGGCUUACCAGAGCACCGAUGGACUUGGACACCUGAGAUAUCUGCUUGGGAUCCCACACUUUCAAGUUCUCUCCUCUGGCCUUCUUCUGGUUCUGUGACUCCUUACAGUGCUGGGAGUUGGUGAUGCCAACAGGACACACCCUCCCAGAGCCAGGACAUA